AGUCGUAUAGUGUAGUUGGUUAUCAUAUCAGGUUCUGGUUCAAGGAUCGUCUCCUGAUGACCCGGGUUCGAAUCCCAGUAUGACCU
rfam:Magnaporthe poae ATCC 64411 unplaced genomic scaffold supercont1.28, whole genome shotgun sequence.